rfam:Lupinus angustifolius cultivar Tanjil chromosome LG11, whole genome shotgun sequence.
CCAAACGCUCCCAUUUUUUAAUAACACAAGUCUCCGCAAAGCCAUAAGACCAUGUAUGGGGGCUAACGCCUGCCCAGUGCCGGAAAGUCAAGGAAGUUAGUGACCUGAUGAUAGGGGAGCCGAUGACCGAAGCCCUGGUGAACGGCGACCGUAACUAUAACGGUCCUAAGGUAGCGAAAUUCCUUGUCAUAUAAGUUCUGACCCGCAUGAAAGGCGUAACGAUCUGG